UACAGAGGGGGCAAGCGUUGUUCGGAAUUACUGGGCGUAAAGGGCGCGUAGGCGGCCCGCUAAGUCGAACGUGAAAUCCCCGAGCUCAACUCGGGAACUGCGUCCGAUACUGGCGGGCUUGAAUCCGGGAGAGGUGAGUGGAAUUCCUAGUGUAGAGGUGAAAUUCGUAGAUAUUAGGAAGAACACCAGUGGCGAAGGCGGCUCACUGGCCCGGUACUGACGCUGAGGCGCGAAAGCGUGGGGAGCAAACAGG
rnacentral:rRNA from 1 species